UACGAAGGGGGUUAGCGUUGUUCGGAAUCACUGGGCUUAAAGGGCGCGUAGGCGGGCCGCCGCGUCCGGGGUGAAAUCCUCCCGCUCAACGGGAGAACGGCCUCGGAUACGGGCGGUCUGGAGGGGGGUAGGGGCGUGCGGAACUGUGGGUGGAGCGGUGAAAUGCGUUGAUAUCCACAGGAACUCCGGUGGCGAAGGCGGCACGCUGGACCCCACCUGACGCUGAGGCGCGAAAGCCAGGGGAGCGAACGGG
rnacentral:rRNA from 1 species